UGCGCCUGCGCCCAGGCGGCGGAUGAUGGUUGCGCCCACCGCCUGCUGUGUGGAGAAUGGGUUAGCAGGUGGAGGAAGAUACCCGGGAAGUUCAGUGGAUUUGCCUUCGGACUGUUACCUCACCGUGGACUUAAAAAUCUAUUUUGAAACUCAGUUCUGAACCCUUGGUUGGGUUCUGUCCUUCUAAAGUGAUUACAAACAUGGCCACAGAUUCUCUGCAGCCACUCCAGUGGGAGGGGAGUCGUUUUCCCCUCUAAGUCUGGGCUGGCCUGGGAGUUGUUUGGAUCAGGACAGUGCUGAAGAAGGGAGAUGUCUGAGUCCCUGGCUCAGCUCUGGACACCUCGGAACUUCUGCUCUCGCCCUGAGAACCCUUCCGGCACUGUGUCCACAAGCCCUGACUGCCGUUCUGCUGGGAGAGGAACCACAGGGAGAGAGGCACCAGUCACCUCGGCUGUCAGGAGCCAUCCAGCCCAGGCCCAGACAUCUGGGCAAGCUCAGGUGGAACCAUGCAGCCCCCCAGAACAGGACAGUCAUCUGAGCCUGACGUCAAAUGCCAACCACAGACUGGUGAGAAACAACCUGCUGUUGUUUAAAGCCCUUAAGUUGGAGGUGGUUUGUUAUGUAGCAAAAGGUGACACACCUCCCAUGAAACAGGAACAUUGAUGAAGUCAUUGGCUGCCCCCAGCAGUGGAUUGAUUCUCUGUGCCAUCAGGCAACUGAGGGACUUUUCUUGUAGAGAAACCACAUAUGGAAUCAAACGUACAGUUGCGAUCUUCAUCUGAUUAAAUUUGUCAAAAUCUCCAGUCAGGCUCCAUGACCCACUGGCUUUUAUAGUAGCCAAGGAGGCUAGUGAAGUGAGCAAUGGUAGGAAUUUCCCACCAUGCAUCUCUCCAGGGUUUGACGAGAUUGCUAACCUCCCCAGUCUCCCCCAUGGGUGUUGUGUUGCCUGGGGUUUACGCUGAGGGAAGGGGCAGUGCCAAGAACUUCUAUUUGGUCCCUUUCCCCUAAUAAUCUUCACUCCUUGGUUCAGGAAACCAAAAUGGGAACUCCAGCAGCUGCUAACUAUAUCUAUUCCCGUUAUAUAUUCUGGAACCAGGGAAAUAAGGACAGGAUGGGUCCCUGGUCCCAGUGAACAAACUAAAAUGUGGGCCAAAGCUCCUUCUAUCCCCAGACCUCCAAAAGCUCCCACUCCAGCCAAUGGGGCAUGCAGCCCUUCUGAUCAUUAGAAAUCAGCAUAUGUUCCAAACCAGUGUAUAAAAGUCCCCAGAAAAUGCAUUUCCCUUUUACCAGGGUAUGGUCACACUGGUAAGUGACUGCCACUUUGGGAACAUUGGGGAGAGCUGAGGAGGAGAAGCAUGGCGUACAUCUCAGACAGGUCAUUUCCCAAAGGGCUCCAGUAUCCCCCUCAGUCUAGGGGCUUAGAGUCCAACACCUGAUUAGAGCCUGGUACCCAGGGAAGAGACCAUGACUCCUCACUGUAGCAACUAUUGUAUCUGGAUUUUUCUUGAAGGCUGCCCAACAAUUUCAUUUCUAGGCACAUAUGAUCAUUAUCCAUCACUACAUAUUGCCGUGGGUCACAUUCUCUAAUUACCGUUCUGUCCUUGUGGCUUACUGUGUGAAUCACACAUACCUUGUCUCUGCUUGUUGAGCCGUCUGUUCCUCCAGCCUUCAUGAUCCCCUGCCAUCAUCUCCUGCAGCGAAGGACAGUGCCCCCACUGAGCUCAUCAAGGAUGCUAGUGCCUCCUACAGCAAUGCCUUUUUGAAUUCUUUCAUGAAGGCUGUGAACUCUUCUCCCUCAAGCAUGAUUAGGGAUGACUAAGCAGGUUGAAUAUCAUUCAUAGAUCUGUGCCAACAUUCCCAUUUCCUGAUGCCUCCUGACUCCUUCCUGCCCUCCUCAACAGUGUACCAGGGAUAUGCCAGGAUUUUGACCAUUUGGACCCAAUGUAGGGUCCAGAACAUCAACACCACUUGCAGGUGGUCAAGGCAAUAUUUUAAAUCCCAAAUACUGAGUGAGGACAUUCAUGUCAAGGAAAUCAGUCUGGUCAAGACCUUCAUCUUAUCCCUUUGGUCCACCACUCUUAGAACUCAUUCCCACCCACGCUGCCCAGGCUUUGCCAGCACAGAUUGGCACGGUCCUGUAAGCUUUCGGUGUAGUCUCUCCCUUCCAGGAAGGUCCUUGGAGCUUUCUAUUCUGGCUAUUUUUAAAUCUGUAUGUAAACCUACCUCUAUUUGGGGCUCCUGCCAAAACAGAUCAGCAAAGUCAAGCAAUUCUUUCAUUGUCUAGAAGACCUGCUCCCUGAGUGAGGGGUGAACCUGGAGGGACAAACAGAAGUUAUACAGCAAGCUAGCAACGGAUUACAGAAAAAGCAAGAAAAAUAAUUUCAGAGCAGUAGAUGUAUGUACAUUACCUUAAUUACAGUGAUGGUUUAGGGGUCCGUACAUAUCUCAAGACUCAUGAAAUUAUACACUUUAAAUCUACAGAGUUUUUUCUUACAUAAUUAUACUUCAAAAAGCUGUAAAAAAAAUUUAAAGACUAAUACAUUUUGGAAUCCGAGCAUUCUGUACUUAUCAAUAAGAAGUACUAAAUAAA